CAAUAGCGUAUAUUUAAGUUGCUGCAGUUAAAAAGCUCGUAGUUGGAUUUCGGGUGGGAAUGGCCGGUCCGCCGUUUCGGUGUGCACUUGCUACGCCCACCUUGCUGCCGGGGACGUGCUCUUGAGUUCACGCUCGGGACACGGAGUCGGCGAGGUUACUUUGAGUAAAUUAGAGUGUUCAAAGCAGGCCUACGCUCUGAAUACAUUAGCAUGGAAUAACACGAUAGGACUCUGGCCUAUCUUGUUGGUCUGUAGGACCGGAGUAAUGAUUAAGAGGGACAGUCGGGGGCAUUCGUAUUUCAUUGUCAGAGGUGAAAUUCUUGGAUUUACGGAAGACGAACAACUGCGAAAGCAUUUGCCAAGGAUGUUUUCAUUAA
rnacentral:rRNA from 1 species